UUGCUGCUCUGGUAGAGUUUCUUCAGCCCUAGAAGCUCCUUCCAUCGGCUGGAACACCUCGGAGCCUUCGGAGAGAAGAGGUACGGGUCCGUACACGACACCUCAGUUCUCCGACGAGAUUUUGCCGUCUCGGGUGACCUAAUCUCCGACGACGGUAUUGAAGCCACUGAUGGACGGAUCACAGAAACCUGCAGAGGAACAAGUUUGCCGUCGGAGAACAGCUCAUCCGCUGGAAGCAUCGCCACCGGAUCUUCAAGUCUGAACUCAAAAUCACCUACGUCCUUGCCGGAAACAUCCGG
rnacentral:lncRNA from 1 species